GCCGCAUUAGCUCAGCUGGUAGAGCAACGCAUUCGUAAUGCGUAGGUCGGGUGUUCGAGUCACCCAUGCGGCACCA
rnacentral:tRNA from 4 species